AUCUAGCUGACGAGUCCCAAAUAGGACGAAACUUACAU
rnacentral:hammerhead_ribozyme from 1 species